UGGCAGCUUCUUCCUCUUCGUCCAAAGUACUCCCGGAGUCGUGGCAAGUGUUUAUCAAUUUUCGUGGAGCAGAUUUGCGCAACAGUUUCAUUAGCCAUCUGGAGGGAGCCUUGAACGUAGCUGAAAUCAAAUACUAUAUCGACACGAAUGAAGUCCCAAGCGAAGAUCUCACUGUCCUUUUCACGAGGAUUGAACAAUCGAAAUCGCUCUGUCGAUCUUCUCGAGCAACUACGCUGAAUCAAAAUGGUGUCUAGAUGAGCUUGUGAAGAUCAUGGAACAAGUGAAGAAAGGAAAACUCAGAAUGAUCCCCGUAUUCUUCAAUGUGGCACCUGAGGAAGUGAAAGAGCAGAAGGGAGAGUUCGGCCUUAAGCUCUACAGAGAAGGUAAAAGAAAAAGACCCAAUAUACCGGAUUUGGAGAACGCUUUGCAGUCUGUUCCAAGCAAGAUAGGCUUGAAUUUGGCGAAUUAUAGGUAUAGUGAUAUUGUUUGAGUAUAUCAUUUUCAUUCUUUUGAUAGUGUUUCACUGAUUUUUUUUUUCAUCAUUCGUAUUGCAUGAACGAGAGGUAACUCGUUGACAUGAUCGUUGACUCGAUCAAAAGAGUGCUUGCCCUAAUUCCACUUUCAAGCAAAGUAGUAGAGUAUCUCAACGGAAUCUCAAAAGAGGCAGGGGUAGAGAAUGUAGAUACAUUUUCGAUAAGCUCCGAUGAGUUUCUAUUUUCUUCCAUGGAUUACUCAGUCACCGACGAUGACCAUGGAAUCCCUCCCUUUCUGCAAGAAGCCGGAAGCAGACUAGAAGAACAUCUUAACGAGAUCUCUACCGUAAGUACAAAUGGUAAUAUUCCCUCUGGACACACCGAACAGCCUCCAGUACCCGACUACUUAAUGAAACAACGCCUUGAGGAGUUGGAAGAAAAGAUACAUUUUGAUUGCGUCGAAAAUAAAUUUGUUGGAAUUGUUGGAAUGCCUGGGACUGGUAAAACUACUCUUGCGGAAACGUUGUAUAAAAAGUGGCAACAAAAGUUUAAGAGGGGCAUGUUUUUCCCAGGUGUCAGUAAGAUGGCCAAUGAGCAGGGAUCGUAUCGGCUGCAAGAGAGGUAAUUGAAAGAGCUGUUGAAGGAUACUAAUCUCCUCCACAUAGGAUAUACAUCGAAUAAACAUGAGAGUUUAAAGGAUUUUCUUCUCCAAGAGGAAGUUUUUCUUGUUAUAGAUGAUGUUAGUGGCAAGAUACAGAUCAGAUCUCUUUUUGGUAAUUGCGAUUGGUUUAAAAAAGGAAGCAAGAUUGUUAUUACAUCAAGUGAUGGGUCCCUGAUCAAGGAAUUGGUUGACGAUACGUACCUAGUCCCGAGAUUGGACAACAGAAGUAGUUUACUAUGGUUUACCAGUAACGCCUUUGGUUUAGUGGAUCAUGCCGAGGGAAAUUUAGUAAAGCUGUCAAGACACUUUCUGAAUUAUGCCAAACGCAACCCACUAGCCCUCAGAGAUUUUGGUGUAGAACUUCAUGGGAAAGACGAGGCUUAUUGGGAACAGAGGAUUGGAACACUGGCACAAAGUUCUAAUAAGAUGAUCCAAUAUGUCUUGAGAAAAAGAUACGAUGAGCUCACAUCGAGGCAGCAAGAGGCUUUUCUUGACGUUGCAUGUUUCUUCAAAUCAGAGAAUGCAAGUUAUGUAAGAUGCCUGGUAAAUUCAUGUGAUUCUACUACGGUUUGGGAUGAAACAAGAGAUCUCCAAGACAAGUUUCUCGUUAAUAUUUCUGGUGGUCGAGUUCAGAUGCAUGAUAUAUUAUGCACAUUCGCCAAGGAACUUGCUUCACAAACAUUGACUGAAAAUACAGGGGUUCAUCUCAGGCUUUGGAACUAUCAAGAUAUCAUUUAUUUGCCGAAGAAUAAAUUGGAAAUGGAAAAUGUCAGAGGUAUUUUCUUAGACAUGUCUAAAGUUCCGGAGGAAAUGAUAUUUUGCUAACAUCUUUAGCAAUAUGUGCAAUCUUUGAUAUCUUAAAAUAUACAAUUCCGCCAGCCCUAAGGAAGGCGAAGAUAUUUUCAAAUUUGACAUGGUUAAGGAGUUUCAUUUACCAUUAGAUAAGGUAUGUUAUCUCCACUGGAUGAAAUAUCCAUUUGAGCAACUUCCAUCAGACUUCAACCCAGAGAAUCUUGUUGAUCUUGAACUGCCUUGUAGCUCCAUUAAGAAAGUUUGGGAGGGUGUUAAGGAUACCCAAAAACUAAAAUGGGCCAAUCUCAGCUAUUCGAGUAAGUUGACUAAUCUUUCAGGGUUGUCAAAUGCUAAAAAUCUUGAAAGAUUGAAUCUUGAAGGUUGCACAAGUUUGCAUGAACUGCCCCAAGAGAUGGAGAACAUGAAAAGUCUUGUCUUCCUGAAUAUGAGAGGUUGCAAGAGUCUAACAUUUCUUCAGAGGAUGAAAUUGAGCUCUCUAAAAAUUCUCAUACUCAGUGACUGCCCAAAACUUCACGAGUUUGAGGUGAUUUCGGAAAUCUGGAAGCAUUAUAUUUAGAUGGAACUGCAGUAAAGGGACUUCCUCCAGCCAUCGGGGAUCUGAUGAGACUUACCAUAUUGAAUAUGAAAGGUUGUACAGAACUGGAGAAUCUUCCCGAAUGUCUUGGAAAACAGAAAGCUCUUGAAGAACUCAUACUCUCUGGUUGUUCAAAGCUCGAGAGUGUUCCAAAGGAUGUAGCAAACAUGAAACAUUUACGGAUCUUAUUGCUUGGUGGCACAAGAAUCAAAGAGAUCCCUAAGAUAUACUCGUUGCAGCGUUUAUGCUUAAGUAGAAAUAUUGAAAUGGUCCAUCUGCAAGGUAACCUCAGUCAAUUCUAUCAUCUGAAAUGGCUUGUCUUGAAGAACUGCAAGAAUCUUAGAUAUCUUCCAACGCUUCCACCAUAUCUUGAUUACCUAAAUGCAUAUGGCUGUGAAAAACUAGAAACAGUUGUGAAUCCUCUCGUCCUUCGUAUGAUAACUGGGCAGAUCCGUUCCACUUUCUUUUUCACUAAUUGCAACAAUAUCUAUCAAGAUGCAAAAGAGUCAAUCUUAUCCUACGCGAAAUGGAAAUGCCAGCGACUUGCACUUGAAUGCUAC